UACGAGGGGGGCAAGCGUUGUUCGGAAUUACUGGGCGUAAAGGGCUGGUAGGCGGCCAACUAAGUCGGAUGUGAAAUCCCCAGGCUUAACCUGGGAACUGCAUCCGAUACUGGUCGGCUUGAAUCCGGGAGAGGGAUGCAGAAUUCCAGGUGUAGCGGCGAAAUGCGUAGAUAUCUGGAGGAAUACCGGUGGCGAAGGCGGCAUCCUGGACCGGCAUUGACGCUGAACAGCGAAAGCUAGGGGAGCAAACGGG
rnacentral:rRNA from 1 species